rnacentral:lncRNA from 1 species
UUUUUUUUUUUUCCUUUAGACGGGUGCUUGGGAGUCAUUGUUGCAGAGAAAUUUCCUGUUAAUAAUAGGGGAACAAUCUUGCUUAAAUUAAUUGGCUUAAAUUAAUUGAUUUGUUUGCAGCAGCCACAACAUAAUAAAUCCUAUAGAUUCUGAAGUUGUUGAGUAUCAAAGUAAUUGCUUGGGAGCCACUCAAUGGCCUCCGAGAAUGGUUUUAAUGGUGAGAAAGUUACCGACUUGCAUGAAGCCGGUACAUCGAAAAGCCAGGAAGAGUCACAGAAAGUCCCUGGCGAUAAUGGAGAAAAUCAAGAUCCUGAAAGCAGCAAAGGAGAUGAGAAAACUAACACGGUUCCAUUUUACAAGCUGUUUGCAUUUGCUGAUUCUACGGAUAUCUUAUUAAUGAUCGUCGGCACAACCGCUGCAACUGGGAAUGGUCUAUCUAUGCCCCUUAUGACAAUCCUGUUUGGGAAUCUCAUUGAUUCUUUUGGAACAAACCAGAGUAAUGGCAACGUGGUUGAAGCUGUCUCCAAGGUAUUUCUGCAUGUAGCACGAACAUAGCUGGUGUGUCUUUUUACUUUUAGUUUAUUGUUUUGUUUAAACGUCUCACAUGGGGAUUAUUAACUGAAUUCUUAAAACCAUAUCUAAGGUUUCUGUGAGAUUUGUCUACCUGGCGAUGGGGGCUGCGGCGGCUGCGUUUCUCCGUAAGAAAAUCUCUAAUUUAAAUCAUAUUGCCUGAUGUUUAAUGUGGCUUCAGACUCAUGCUGAAAAGCUUGGAUAUUGUUAUUUUUUUCAGAGGUGAGUUGCUGGAUGAUCACAGGUGAGAGACAAGCUGCACGAAUACGGGGCCUGUACUUGAAAACCAUAUUGAGGCAAGACGUUGCUUUCUUUGAUGUGGAAACAAACACAGGGGAAGUUAUUGGAAGAAUGUCGGGGGACACAGUUCUCAUACAGGACGCCAUGGGCGAAAAGGUAUACGACUAUACUAUCCUAGUCUUGACUAGGAUGUUUAGAAUCUUCGUUGAGUAAGAUGUUUUCAUUGGAAUCAUAAUACACAUGUAACCAUGGAAUAUUCACCUCUUUUUUGCAGGUAGGGAAGUUUUCACAAUUGAUAUCCACGUUCAUUGGAGGCUUUGUUAUAGCAUUUGUCAAAGGAUGGCUUCUUACUCUCGUAAUGUUAUCUGCUAUCCCUCUACUUGUAAUAUCUGGUGGAACCAUAGCCGUUAUAGUAUCCAAGAUGGCAUCCCGGGGACAAAAUGCUUAUGCUAAAGCUGCCACUGUAGUUGAACAGACAAUUGGUUCGAUCCGAACUGUAAGUUCUAUAUUAAAAAUAGUCGCAGCUAAGUUAUCAAUUUUUGCCCCUAUUUUUUGGUGAAAAUAUAUGGCCAAUCAUUGACUUGAUUCCAGGUUGCGUCGUUUACUGGUGAGAAGCAAGCAAUAAACAAUUACAAUAAGUCACUUGUUACUGCUUAUAGAUCAGGCGUUCAUGAAGGCACCGCUGCUGGAGUAGGUAUUGGCUUAGUUAUGCUAGUUAUAUUCUGCAGUUAUGCUUUGGCUGUCUGGUUUGGUGGGAAGAUGAUUUUGGAGAAAGGGUACACUGGUGGUGAAGUACUUAAUGUGAUCAUGGCUGUAUUGACAGGUUCCAUGUGAGUUUAAAUUUUGAAUUUUGUCCAUCUUCUACUUUAUUAAGCGUGCUUCAUAGGCUAAAUUCCUUGGUACCUACGGACGUUUCAGGUCUCUGGGGCAAGCAUCUCCAUGCAUGACUGCGUUUGCGGCUGGUCAAGCUGCAGCGUUUAAGAUGUUUGAGACCAUCAAAAGGAAGCCAGAGAUUGAUUCCUAUGACACGAGUGGAAAAGUGUUGGAGGAUAUUCGUGGGGAUGUAGAACUGAGGGAUGUUUAUUUCAGUUACCCUGCCAGACCAGAGGAGCAAGUUUUCAGUGGAUUCUCUCUUUCUAUUCCAAGUGGCACAACAGUAGCUUUGGUUGGACAAAGUGGAAGUGGGAAAUCAACUGCAAUCAGCCUGAUCGAGAGAUUUUAUGAUCCACAAGCCGGUGAGGUUCUUAUCGAUGGCAUUAAUCUCAAGGAGUUCCAGCUUAGAUGGAUAAGGGGAAAGAUUGGUCUUGUUAGCCAGGAACCAGUGUUGUUUACGUCAAGCAUAAGGGAUAAUAUCGCAUAUGGUAAAGAAGAUGCAACCACGGAAGAGAUAAGAGCAGCAGCUGAACUUGCAAAUGCUGCUAACUUCAUUGAUAAACUACCUCAGGUUUUAGUUUAUUGUCCGAUUAAUUUUAUUUUAUAUAUCAACUUCAAUAUAUGAAUUGCACAUUUUAAUUUACUUUUGAAACUAUGGACUCCAUGCAUAGGGACUAGAUACCAUGGUUGGAGAGCAUGGAACUCAGCUUUCUGGUGGACAAAAGCAGAGAGUGGCAAUUGCAAGAGCAAUCUUGAAAGACCCACGGAUUUUGCUUUUAGACGAAGCUACAAGUGCACUCGACGCAGAAUCUGAAAGAGUUGUUCAAGAGGCAUUGGACAGGAUAAUGGGCAAUAGGACUACUGUCAUUGUUGCUCAUCGUUUAAGUACUGUGAGAAAUGCAGAUUCGAUUGCUGUAAUUCAUAAAGGAAAGAUGGUUGAAAAAGGUAGUUAUAAUCAUAUAUUUCUUGAACUUCAUCUUAAUUGUAAGUGGAGCUAUCUAACAGACGCAUGUUAUCAAGGGGAUACAUUUUUAUUCCACUAACUAAACCUGGAUUUGCCUGCAUGUUGGUGUAUUUUCAGACAUUUUGCGUAUUUCCAUUGCAUAUCUUAAAUAUUAAGGAAUAUGUUUGUAACACGUUUAACAUAUUGCUUGUAGUUCUUAUUUCUUUUUUUUGCAUUUGCAUCAGCAGUGUUAUGCUCCACAACAACAUACUUUAUCACAGUCGAUAACAUUUCUUCGAAUUGACAGGGUCGCAUUCAGAACUACUCAAGGAUCCUGAGGGAGCUUACUCUCAGCUCAUUCGUUUACAAGAAGUAAAUAAAGGGUUGGAACAGCUUGCAGAUGUAUCAGAUGUUAAUCAAGAAUUGUUCAGACAAUCGAGCCUAAGAAGGUCAUUCAAGCGAUCAAUCAGCAGGGGAUCAUCUAGAACUAGCAGCCGCAAUUCUUCUUUCUCUCAACCUUUUGGUUUACCUACUGAAAUGAAUGUCACUGAUCCUGCAAUGUUAGAUACAGAAGACCCUGCUGAACCACCAUUGAAACAGGCUAAGGAGGUUUCUAUCCUCCGGCUUGCUUACCUCAACAAGCCGGAGAUUCCUGUGAUCUUAAUUGGAACUCUUUUUGCAGCUGCCAACGGUGUGAUACUUCCACUUUUCGGUAUCCUGAUUUCCAAUAUGAUCAAAACAUUUUAUCAACCUCCUGAUGAAUUGAAAAAGGAUUCAAGAUUCUGGGCACUGAUAUUUUUGUCCCUUGGCCUGGCAUCAUUUCUGAUAAAUCCUGCUCGAACAUACUUCUUUUCUAUCGCCGGAUGUAAAUUAAUCCAACGAAUCAGAUCAACAUGUUUCGAGAAAGUGGUCCGCAUGGAAGUUGCUUGGUUCGAUGAACCUGAUAAUUCAAGUGGUUCAAUAGGUGCAAGGCUCUCGGCAGACGCAGCCUCGAUACGUGCCCUGGUUGGAGAUGCACUAGCUCAGUUGGUCUCAAGCUUUGCAUCAGCAUUGGCUGGUUUAGUUAUUGCUUUUGUUGCAAGUUGGCAGAUGGCAUUUAUUAUCCUAGUAUUAAUCCCUCUCAUAGGGGUCAAUGGAUACAUUCAAGCAAAAUUCAUGAAGGGAUUCAGUGCAGAUGCAAAGGUAUGCCUGAAUAUUGCUUACAUAAUUGUGAAAAAUAAGUAAAAGGGGCAUAUAUUUUUAAGAAUAUUAUUGAUUUAUACAUGUAUACAUAAAUUGUUGCAGAUGAUGUAUGAGGAGGCCAGCCAAGUUGCCAGUGAUGCAGUUGGGAGUAUAAGAACAGUUGCUUCCUUUUGUGCAGAGGAAAAGGUAAUGCAACUCUACAAAAAGAAAUGUGAGGGUCCAAUGAAAACCGGGAUAAGGCAGGGUUUGAUUAGCGGAUCAGGAUUCGGACUUGCGUUCUUCUUUCUGUUUUCUGUUUAUGCAACAAGUUUCUAUGCAGGAGCUCAACUUGUUGAGCACGGCCAGGCGACAUUCACAGAUGUUUUUCAAGUGAGUUUGACAUCUUUGGAUCUUUUUUGUUAAGGCAUGCUAUUUAAUUUUGUAUGUCCCUAUGAUGCUGAAACCAAUAUUUAUUUCGCAGGUUUUCUUAGCUUUAACCAUGGCAGCUGUUGGAAUUUCUCAAUCAAGUUCCUUCGCUCCUGAUUCCAACAAAGCCAAGAUUGCGGCAGCUUCCAUAUUUGCAAUUAUUGAUCGCCGGUCUAAAAUAGACCCAAGUGAUGAGUCUGGGAUGACACUAGAAAAUGUGAAAGGGAAUAUGGAGCUUCGUGAUGUUAGUUUUAAGUAUCCAUCAAGGCCAGAUAUUCAAAUCUUCCAAGCCUUAAGCUUGUCUAUUCAUGCUGGAAAGGUAAACGAUCCUUUUGCCAUACUGAACUCGCAAACACAUCACUUAUCAACAUAUUUGUAGAGACUAAAAUCAUACACGUAUCGAUCAUUUUGUUUCUUUCAGACAGUUGCCCUGGUUGGAGAAAGUGGGAGUGGGAAAUCUACUGUAAUCUCAUUAUUGCAGAGGUUUUAUGAUCCUGAUUCAGGAACUAUCACUCUUGAUGGAGUCAAAAUCCAAACGCUCCAAUUGAAAUGGCUGAGGCAACAAAUGGGGCUUGUCAGCCAAGAACCUGUUUUGUUCAAUGAUACAAUCCGUGCCAACAUUGCAUAUGGAAAGGGAGGAAAUGCAACUGAAGCAGAAAUUAUAACAGCAUCAGAGUUGGCCAAUGCUCAUACGUUCAUCAGUGCAUUACAACAGGUUACAGAUCUUUUUGAAAAUAGUCUCCAAAUUGGCUCAAUAAUGCAACCAUUACAAAAUAGUCUCCAAAUAUGCUUUGACUAAUGACUGGUUACUGAUCUUUUCACCUAUAUAAUCCAGGGUUACGAUACCGUGGUGGGAGAGCGAGGACUUCAAUUGUCAGGUGGACAAAAGCAACGCGUAGCCAUUGCACGAGCCAUCGUUAAAAGUCCAAAGAUACUGCUAUUAGAUGAGGCUACAAGUGCAUUGGAUGCAGAAUCAGAGAAAGUGGUUCAGGAUGCACUAGAUAAAGUGAUGGUGAACCGCACGACGGUUGUAGUUGCUCAUAGGCUAUCCACAAUCAAGAAUGCAGAUGUUAUAGCUGUGGUUAAAAAUGGGGUUAUUGUAGAGAAAGGAAAGCAUGACACUUUGAUAAACAUCAAAGAUGGUUUCUAUGCUUCCUUAGUUGCACUUCACAUGACUGCUUCCACUUCGCAGUAGGACUUACAAGUGUUGAGAGUCGAAUAUUCUACUUAAUGUUACCUAUGAUUGCAUUAAGUGAUUGAAUUCAAUUUUAACUCAGCCUCUUAGAAUUUGCAAGAUAGUUGCUUGAUACAAUAAUUCAUGCAGAUAAUCAUAUAUUAAUACCCAGAGGCAAAUGCUGUUUUCAUGAUACGUUUGCUCGUUCCUUUGAAUCCUACGGAAGAAAGAGUCAGAUUUGAUGAGAUAAACCAUGGGAAAAUUAAAGAAACUCUACUGCAUGUCUUAUAAUGAUGGAUAAUGGCCAAAGCAAUUUUUUUUAGAAUAAAGUAGAGAAGUUUGAAGAAAAAUGUUUAGGUUUUUAAAAUAUCAUUAUUCCUCGUUAUCGUUUUUAUUUUGCUCAAUCAAUUUUAACGGUGUGAAUAUUUCAAAAUAUAUACGUACCACUUCUUCCUCUCUUUUUUUUUUUUGCAAUUUUAAUCCAUUUUUAGUUACUUUUUUUCAUUUUACUUAUAAAAUUUUUAAUUCUUUCAUAUAUUUUUCAAAUAAUAUUUCAACUAUAAAUAUUAUUAAUUGAGUAAAAUUAACAUUUUUCUAUUACAUUCAAAUCAAAAUGUUACCUUUAUACAAUUUUAUCAUUUAAUUAAUCUACAUGUAUUAAUUAUUUACUUUAUAAUUAAAUUAAAUCACUAUUAAUUAUAAAAAAAUUAUUAAAAAUUAAUACUAUGUAGAAUAAACGUUUAAAUUUAAAUCUACAUAAAGAAAAAGCCAAACAGUGAUAAAAUUGAAUGCAAUUAAAAUCAAAUUAAAUUAAUUAAAAUUGAAUUAGUGAUGAAAUCGCACAUGUCGUAAACUGAAAAUGACCAAAAAGAGAGUUAAAACAUCACUAGAAAAAGUGGCGGAUUUGGGGGCCAAAAAAAAGGUUGAAGCGCAGACACACAUUUUUUUUAAUUUUAUUUUGUUAAUAGUAACUUAAUUUGUACUAUUACAAAUAAGUAUAAAAUAGUGUUAGCUUUUUUUUUUAAAUAUUUUAAUUUAUAUAAGCUAUUUGAUUUAUUCUUUCAUAUUUAAUUUUAAAAUGAAAUAUUUAAAAUUACUUUUAAUGACCAUAUAUAGAAACUUAUCUUUAAGAAUUGAAUUAAAGACAUACUUAAAACAAAUGGUGGCAAACUUUUAUGAUGGAUAUUAUUUAAAAAUAUUUUAUUUUAAAUUUUUUAAAUUUAUUCUAAUAUCAAUUAUCAUGAACUUACAUAUUAUUAUGUUUUAAUUUUAUAAUCAUUUUGUUAAUAAAUCGUUGCAAAAUUAAAAAUAGUUAUGACAUAAUUAAAUAAUUAAACAUUUAUUUUAUUUUCACUUUCUCAACCAUACUAUUUUUAUAUCAAAUUUUAAAAACAAUAUAAUAUAUUUUAAUUAAUACACGAUAGUAAUGAAAAUAAUUUAAACUAUUAUAUAAUAAAUAAAUUAUUUUAAAAUAAUAUAUAACAGCUAUUGAUCUUUUAUUUACUUAAAAAUAUAUUUUAAAAAUUAUUAACUAUAUUUUUUAAAAGUAUUAGGACUUAGGAGUCGUAAUAGUACUUAUCCGGAUAUUCCCCCAAAAAAUUCGUAGCCAGUUUUCCUGCCCGUGGCUUUUUACUAAUUUUCAGGAUUUUUUUAUUUACAAAUAAGGACAAGAAGUGAUCGUUAGACCUAUGUGGCAAUUAGAGAGACAACGUAAAGCCACAUGGCAGAAAAGCCUCUAGGAGCUGGCAAAAUCCUAGCCGUCAAUAUUCGGAUGAUGUCAUCGCACCGCUGAUAUUAAAAAAGAAACGCAUGCCAAAGUGCCAGUAAAGCGUGGCAAACCGAAUUCCUCACGAGCGCGCCACCGCCAAGCGCAACAAUCCUUCCACAUCAGCUUUAGAUUUAAUCGAACCACUAAUAGCGUGCCACAUGUGCUAUUUCCUUCCCUUCCAGGAAACUGAAACCGUUCAAGGCAACGUAUAUUCAAUAUAUGAAUGCAUUCUUCUCAAUCCAUUCUUAUAUUUUCCAAGCUAAACGGGAAUCGAAACCAUCUGAUUCACGCCAUGGAGACCUCUGGCAUUGUUUGUAAGACAGUUUCAAGGUUGCCGGCGGCUAGGGUUGAUUUUAGCGGACGGUUAUCCAGGGAAUUGAAUCAUGGUGUUGGAGAUUCCAGGGUUUCAGUUAGGCCGAGGAUUAAAUCUUGCAGGAGAUUGAGUUGCCAGUUUUCUGAUUUAGGGCAUGUCCAGUAUUAUGUGUCACCGAGGGGUGGUGGUGGUGGCGAUGCCACGAAGAAAGACAAGGGAAAGAGCUGUGAGAUUAAACAAGUCAAGAACAAGCUGAAGCUUCUCAAGCGGUUGUCCAAGGACUUGUCCAUGCUUCCUCAGAUUGCUAAUGGCGAGGAUACUAGGAUUGGAUUGGCCGCUGAAGUUAAGGCCACGAUCAUUCAUGUAAGAUAUUAAUUUUCCGUCUUCUUUUUCUACUUCUGUUUUUUUGUGAUUGCUUUGAUCUGGUUCGUGCCGUGACAAAAUGGUUUAAUUGCUCUUUAAUUAAACUAAGAAGCUUUCUUUGUAUGAGAAUUGUGAAAAAAGAAAUUUUGAAGUGGGAUUUUUGUGAUAUAUUGGAUUAAAACCUCAUAUGUUGUUUUGUUCUUUCAGGAAGCAAGCGGUGUUUUGCAGGCCCAACUGCAAAAGUUGAAAUCAGAACAAAAGGAGUUGAAGAGAAAAUUGAAAGAGGAACGAGCCAAGCUCAAAGCCACUUUUGGGAAAUCAGAAUCAUCAUCUUCCUCUGAAUCAAGUGACAGCGAAUGUGGGGAGGUAGUUGACAUGAAAGCCCUGAGAAACAAUGCUUUGAAACCUUCCCUAGAGGCAGAAACACCAAUUGGCAAUGCUUUGAAACGACCCGAAGAGAUAGUUAUAGAAGCUCCAACGGUGGCAGAGGAAGCAACAUUAGCUAACUCGCUCAUGGAACUAGAAAACUCAGAUUCAAGCCCCCAAAUUCGAAUACGAGUUCCUCUUGCUGGAUUGGAUGGUGAAUGUUGCAGUUCAAAUGGCUUCAAGGAUGGGCAGAGCAACAUCCUUGUGGAAGGGACAUCAACCAAGCAGAUUGAAGUUUGCAUGGGUGGCAAGUGCAAGAAGAUGGGAGCUGCGGCGUUGUUAGAAGAGUUUGAAAGGAAGUUGGGGGAAGAGGGCACUGUUGUGGCGUGCAAAUGCAUGGGGAAGUGCAAGACCUCUCCAAAUGUAAGGGUCUUGAACUCUCAAACGGAAACUACAACAAGAAUCAAUGAAGACUCUGUUAGACUUGGGAUUAAUCCUACAUGCACGGGUGUCGGGUUGCAAGACGUUAACCUCAUCGUUGCAAAUCUUUUGGGCAAGAACAUAGAUGAUGAAUGUCUGGUGCUCUCUUCUUGAGACUUCAUUUUGUUUCAUUCUUCGAUUACGAUCAUGAAUUUGUUAAUAGUGUGAAUAGGGGAAAUAUAGUGGAUGAGCUAUUGGCAUGGAUGAAACUACUUUAAAUCUAGGCUCUAGCGAUCUAGAUGAUAAUGUAAAAUGCUUUUAUCUUUCAGUUUUAGAGUAAUGUCGAAUGCAGCUUGAGGUUUUUAGUUUGUUCUGCAAAAUUUGUGCCAAAAUUUCAUCAUUUCCCUUCUUUCCGCUCUCCUCCUCCUCGGUUUUCCAAUCGCAGGUUCUAACAUAAAAUUUGGUAAUGCAUUACUACCGAUGAACAAGCCACUAAUCGAUUCGCAGUGACUAUAUAGAUAAACAUGCAAUAAUUUCACCAAUUUAAUGUCAAAAAGGAUGUUGGCAGAUUUGGGAUUUGAUUGUGGCUCCAAAGGUUAAGAAUUUCGUGUGGAGAGUUUGUCAUAAUCUUAUUCCUGCUAAGAACGUUGUUUCCAACAUGAUUCGGAACAUGAUUCGGAAUUGUUGGAACACAUUUUUUUCUCGAUUUGAAGUUUAAUUACAAAACAAGCCAAGAAGGCUUGUCUAGUUUUAAGAAAUGCUGGGGAUGAUGUUGCCAACCUUCUCGCUAUGUUUGUCUCUAUUGAUAUGAAGGAGCUUGUUUUGUUUGUGCAGUUGGCCUCUAUGGAAGGCCAGAAACUGUUCUGUUUUUUAGAACAUCCUCAGGAGGCUUUUUGAGUUGUGUGAACAGGGAUCUCUCUGCCUCUUACUGGGGCAGGAAGUGACUGCAAAGAUUCACUAAAUUGGCAAAAUUCUCCUUCGCCUUUGAUUGAAGCUUAAUUGUGAUGCAUAAUUUGAUAUUGCGGUGAUUUGCUUAAUUGUGAUGCAUAAUUUGAUAUUGCGGUGAUUUGCAGGGACUAUAAUAGUGAUAACGCUCGUACACCUCUGCUGAAACCAUGGUGAUAACACCCGUACACCUCUGCUGUAACCAUUGCAAUUCGUCAACUCUGCCCCUUAGCAAGUCAAAGAGGUUGGUCUCAUGUUUUUGUGAAGUCUUGAUUGACUGCAGCUUAUUCAAAAAUUAAAGAAGUCAGUUUCUUGUAAAGAUUGGAAAAUAUUGCGAUCCUAUUGUAAUAUUGUGUUUUCUUGGUUAGCUGGUAUGGCAGGGUAGCGCCCACACCUUCUGACUUGCUCAUUCUUUUGUCUAAUGUAAUCUGAGGCUUCAUGCCGUUUUCAUGAAUGAAAAAUGACAAUGCUGUUGGAGGAUAACGCAUGAAGAUGUCUUGAUAAAUGCUAAAGACGCUUGCUUUAUGGAAUUCAUAUCAGACAAGGAUAUACCGAUUACACAUACAUAUAAAUUCAAAAUAUUGCGAUACAAUUAAUGAACAACAUAUUUCAGCUGAAAGCAGGUUUAACUGCUAAAAAAUGCUGGAUUCAUUCAUACAUUUAUUAUUGCCGAACUACAAGGGAUUGAUACAAAGCCCUAGGCACCUGUCAGACUACAUUGGCAAAAAGUUAUUCCAAAACGCUUUCGCGGUUCCAAGAGGCACACAUAAUAGCUACUUCUUCUACCUUCUCUUUCCCAAUCAUUUUUGGUUCUUUAAAAACUGUGUGAUGUCGCAAGCAUCAGAAAACUGGCAAAGCACGUACGUUAUUCCAUGGAAAGCUGCUCCAACCUUUAUGACUGCCUGACAAGCGCAAAUAGAAGAAAUCAAGGUACAUAAUCUUCUGGAUUAGAAUAAAUUUCAUACAAAUUGAGAAGGCACAUUAAGUUAUAUCUAGCAUGAAAUCAACUGUCCCAAGCCCCCUUUUUGCCUCUCCUUUCCACCUCCUGUGAAUAUAGGUUCCCUGGAUUAUUAAUGCAUCAGUAUGAGCAGUACACUACUAAGUUUUUAGAAAUGUCAUUCAGACAUAUAUACUCUCUGGUUACUAAUAUUAACCUAAUUCCAGUCUUCCAUUAGUAUUGUGAUAUAAACAAAAAAGAAAGCAGAGAAAAGAUCCAAGAGGAAUAGGCAGGUUAAGACAUUUCACAUGCAAUUUCAUCAUGGUGCAAUUAAAUCAGAAUCAGAAUACUUCCACAGGCAUAGAGAUAUUGAAGAAAUAUUGGUUUUUCCUAGUAAUAGAUUUAGGAGCAUAAGACUUUCUACAGGAACACAAUUAAUAAUAACAAGAAACACUAACUCGGUCUUAGGUUUCAACAUUAUAUAUGUUCUCAUUAAAGAUAAAGAGCAACGAUGAUUAGCUUUAAGCAGGCAAGUAACACUUCUUAACAGAAAAUGCCACAAAAGCAAUCCAACAUUGAGCAAAUUAAGUCAAAGAAAUUACCUCUUCAUUCCUUAAAAAGCAUUUUGCAAGUCUUCCCAUCCUCGACUAACUGAUUAAUAGCAUCCCUUAACUUCUCAUAAUCCUCCAAUGUAUUAUAAACUUGAUGAGAAAUUCGCACAUAUCCCGUAAUAAAUCCAUCCUUAUCUCUAACACCCUCUUCCCCAUCCUUUGGAACCUGAUGAAAGAUUGGAACUUCAACCUCAUAACAAUCCCGCAAAUGUGACCUCAACUUCAAAGCAUCCUUCUCACUAUUAAGGCACAACCUCGACGGCAAACCAACCAUAAUCAUUGCAGCAGACAUCUCCGGGGGAGACCCUAAAUUUGUCCCCCAUGAUUCCGCCAACAUCUUCCCCAUCUUCACCACUUGAUCAUGGUUCCUCUUCAUUAUCCCCUCAAUCCCUCCUUCGAACCUGUUAACAAACUCCAAAACUGCAGGAACAACUAACUGAGAACUAUAAUCCCUAGUCCCAGUCCAGGCGCUUUCGAUAGGCAACCCAUUUCCAUACUCAUGUGAAACAACAGGGUGAUGCAAAUCAGAUGAUGUAGUCGAUUUAUUACAGUAUAAAAAUGCUACAGAAGGCGGGCAAAAGAACCAUUUAUGUAAAUUGCUAACAUAAAAAUCAGCUCCAACUUCUUUAACAUCCACUUUCACACUCCCAAUAGCGUGAGCCGCGUCUACGAACACCUGCUCUAUUCCUUCCGCUCUACAAAUCCUAACUAACUCUUUUACCGGAAUAACAACCGAUGGCAUUGAUGUAAUAUGAUCGAUAAUCGCUAACCUUAUCCUUCUACCGUUGGAUUUUCCUUCGUCGAUCGAUUUUUUGAGUUCGGAUAUGAUUUCUACCUCUGAAUUUACCGGGAAUGGUAGCCGUACCUCAAUGACGGAGCCGCCGGCCCGGGUGACGUACGCUUGGAUUGAUUUUUUGACGGCUUCAUACGCGCAGUGGAGCAUCAAAACAGUGUCAUUUUUCUGGAACUUCCCUUCGGCGAAACUGCGGCCGAUCCGUUGGAGCACGAUGGCCGCAGCGGUUGUGGCGUUAUCGACGAGGGAGACCUCGUCGACGUGGUCAGCGUUGAUGAGGUCCUUUAUAAUUUUCCGCGAAGCCGUUAUUCCGUCACGAAGGGAAUUAAAGUAAAAGGCAUCAGGUUGACGGAGGAACUGUAGCUGCCAAUGGCGUUGGGCAGCAAGAACCGAACCGGGACAGCUACCGAAACUCCCGUUGUUGAUGCGUGCGACACGUUGGUGGUGGUGAGAGAAUUCGUCUCGGAUAUCCGACUCGGUAAUGAACUGAGAUGAAAUUUUGGGUUUCUUGGAGCUGCGGUGAGUCGACUCACCGUUUCUAGGGUCAUCGUGCUGCAUCGGCGGAGAUAAGGAGCAAAUGGAAGCAAAUAAAAGGAAAUUAGGGUUUUGUCGUGAAAAUGGGCAUGAUUUUAAGAACUGGACAGUCGAUAGCUACCAAACAGUGGUAGUGCCCUUUUCUUGGUUUUAUUUGGUAUUUUUUUUCCAAUAAAAGGUUACCGUAUUCGUUUCCAGGGCAAGACUGGGACCGAUGAUAAUUGAAUAGAUAACGAUGAUGCAAGCAAUACGUCUUCGUUUCUUUUCCUCUAAACAAUUUGGGGAAUAUGCAAGUCCAGGGGUCAUGAGCUUGACACGUAGGAAUGUAGAAGCGGCGUCGUUUCAAUGAAGAACACGUCACACUGUAUGCUGUCAACAGCGGUCGACCAAUCAAAAGAAGCGAUCGAGCCAGCAGUGCAAAAUGAACCAUUACCGUAGGUUGAAAUGGGAGAUCAAUGACAAUGGCAACGGGCUCUGUUUCUGGUGCUCCCUUCGCUUAAUCUUAAGCGCCGAAAUCCCAACAAGAGACGGAGAAGAAAGAGAGAGUUAGAUCAAGAAGAGUCAAACAUAGCUAGGGUUCCAACUCCUUGAGAAUUCAAAUAAAACACUCUUCUUUCUUUCUUAUCCCGUCUCGUAUCAGGUUGGGAUUUUCUUAAUUUUCUAUUAUAUUCACAAAACCUAAAUUUAAUCUCAUUUCUUUUUCGAUUUUGGAUUUUAGAUUGGACUUCGGAAGAAGGGAUUGUAUUGAAGCUCGAAUUGAGGUGAAGAUAGGGAGUUAAGUGAUCAAAUUCCCCCAUUUUUUUAAUCCUGUGAGGUUACUUGUGGUGAGUUUUUGGGGCAUUAUUGAAUCUUAAUUGAUAUCUUGAAUUGGGUUUCCUUCAAAAUCCAAUCUUGUUCUUUGUUUGUUUAUGGAGUUUUAAGGUUUUCUUCCGGCUUUUGCCGGUGAACAUUGCGUUGAAGUUCUUCGCAAACGCUUUAAUCCUGCACCUUUGAUCCUCUUCGAAGAGCUGGAAUUUGAUCGGCAUUAUAUUCAAUUAAGGGAAACUUUCAAUUGCAAUGGCCACUCCGCCACAAGCUUCCCCUGGAUACUCUAGAACAAUUACUCCUCAGAUGGAUUCUCUUUCGUCUAAACCUGAUCAAAGUGCAAUGUCUCCUGCUCCUCCCACAAUCUCCUCUGGGGCACCUAGGUUUCCUCCGCCAAUUUCACAACAGGAUCAGAUCCCUUCCCCUUCAAUAAAAUUAUCCACUAUGCUAUCUCCAGCAAAUGGAGUCAAUACUGGAAGCUCUGUUCCCCAUAUGAGUACUCCCCCUGGUCCCCCUGUAUUUGCAUCACCAGUCCGGCCUGCUGCUGUGCCUUUCCGAACCUCUCCUGCAACUCCUCAGCCAGUUGCUUUCUCAUCAGCUUCGUCUUUGCCCACAUCUUCUCCUCCCUAUUUUUCAAAUGGGUCGGUGGAGCUGCAACAGCAACUUCCCAGUGCUAUAGAGGAACCUGUGCCUGAUGGAAAGUCACCAUGUGUUUUAUUCUCGGCUCAUAAGGUAUCUUUCUUUCCUUGUCGGAUGAGAUGUAAAGCUAAUAUAUUUUUAUUGGUCUUAUGGCGAGUUUUUUUAUGUUUUUUCUAUCAAAGUCUUGAAUAUCUUUUUCAGAAUUUUAUGAUUAUGUACAUAUUAUCAAAUUUUACAUCCUAUUGAUCUUUGCAGUUAUAUGCACUAUUUCUAUCCAAAAUUUAUUUAUCCUUAUUUUGUGGACCAGGUGUUGAAACACAAGAAACAAGCAAACGUACCUAGCUUAGGUUUUGGAGUACUGGUUUCUCCUGGGAGGGACACUUCACCUGGUCCCCAAGUGAUACAACGUGAUCCUCAUCGAUGCCUUGAUUGUGGAGCUUAUUCGAAUUUAUACUCCAACAUACUAAUUGGCUCAGGCCAAUGGCAGUGUGUAAUUUGCGGGAAUCUAAAUGGAAGCGAAGGUGAAUACAUAGCAUUGAGCAAGGAAGAGCUUCGUAAUUUUCCUGAGUUAUCAUCACCUUUGGUUGAUUUCAUUCAAACAGGGAAUAAGAGGCCAAGUUUUGUUCUGGUUACUGAUUUAAGAACUUCUGCACCAGUUUUUCUUGUCAUAGAUGAAUGUUUAGAUGAGCAACACCUUCAGUAUUUACAGAGCUCCUUGCAUGCAUUCGUUGAUUCACUGCCACCAACAACUAGAAUUGGAAUCAUUUUGUAUGGUCGUGCAAUAUCAGUCUAUGACUUCUCAGAGGAAUCCAUUGCAUCUGCCGAGGUGAUUCCAGGUGGAGCUUCACCAACUCAGGAGGCUUUGAAAGCAUUGAUUUAUGGGACAGGUAUAUACUUGUCCCCAAUGCAUGCUUCAAAAGAGGUGGCACACCUGAUAUUCUCCUCUUUGAGGCCUUACAAGUUGAAUGUUCCAGAAGCAUCAAGAGAUAGGUGCUUAGGUACUGCAGUUGAGGUUGCUCUAGCUAUUAUUCAAGGUCCAUCUGCAGAUUUUUCACGAGGUGUAGUUAAAAGGCCAGGUGUUAACAGCAGAAUCAUUGUGUGUGCUGGUGGACCAAAUACAUAUGGCCCUGGAUCUGUCCCUCAUUCUUAUACUCACCCUAAUUAUCCUCACAAGGAAAAGACUGCAAUAAAAUGGAUGGAGCAUCUUGGUCGUGAGGCUCAUCAACAGAACACAGUCGUAGACAUUCUCUGUGCUGGAACUUGCCCUGUAAGGGUUCCUGUGCUGCAGCCUCUUGCAAAAGCUUCAGGAGGUGCUUUUGUUCUCCAUGAUGAUUUUGGUGAAGCCUUUGGUAUGAACUUACAAAGGGCAUCAGCCAGGGCUGCUGGUUCCCAUGGUUUGUUGGAGAUUCGCUGUUCUGAUGAUAUUCUUGUUACUCAGGUUGUCGGUCCUGGUGAAGAGGCACAUAUAGAAAACCAUGAAACCUUUAAGAAUGAUCUUUCUCUCUGUAUUCAAAUGCUGAGUGUCGAAGAAACACAAUGCUUCUCCAUAUCAAUGGAGAAUAGACAUGACAUCAAGAGUGAUUUCGUUUUUUUCCAGUUUGCCAUUCAGUACUCAAAUGUUUAUCAAGCUGAUAUAACUAGAGUGAUUACUAUCAGGUUGCCAACUGUUGAUAGUGUUCCAGAAUAUCUUCAAAGUGUUGAAGAUGAGGUGGCUGCCGUCCUAAUUGCCAAGAGGACUCUCUUGGGAGCAAAAAGUCAUUCUGAUGCAAUUGAUAUGCGUACAACAAUAGAUGAAAGAGUUAAAGACAUUGCUUUAAAAUUUGGCUCUCAAGUGCCGAAGUCAAAGCUUUGUCGGUUCCCAAAGGAAAUCUCUCUACUACCAGAGUUUCUAUUCCAUCUUAGGAGGGGUCCAUUGUUGGGAAAUAUAGUUGGUCAUGAGGAUGAGAGAUCUGUACUGCGGAAUUUGUUUUUGAAUGCAUCCUUUGAUCUUUCACUUCGCAUGGUUGCCCCUCGCUGUCUGAUGCAUCGGGAAGGAGGCACUUUUGAAGAAUUGCCAGCUUAUGAUCUUGUCAUGCAGUCUGAUACAGCAGUUGUUCUAGACCAUGGUACAGAUGUCUUCAUUUGGUUGGUAUGUAAAUUAAACCAUCUUUUAGUUUUGGCUUGUAUAUCUGCUAUAGUUGCUUCUGUGUUGUUCAUCUUUGACCAUAGAGCCUGGCAUUCAUGUUUGUGCUAUGUGGUUCAAUUCUCACGUUGUGAUUGAAUAGGAGACCCAAAAAUUUACGUAGUCUGGGUGUUCCUAUGCCACUCAUGAACAACCAUCGUGCCUGGUUAUUAUUCAGAAUUGUAUUUCUUUCUGUUAAUAUUAGGCCACGGUAGAAAAGUGAUGAUGGCCUGAUGUAGGGGGAACAUGGUUGGAAAGGCUUGGAAGUGAGAAGCUAUGCAUGAUUUGCUAAAUGCACAAAGUGAAUAUGAUCGUAGUUACGUCAUCCAUCUAACAUGUUUUUUAUCAUAUUCACUUUUUUAAGUUAUAUGUAUACAUACCCUGUGAUAUAUGACCCUGGAUGAAUUCAUUUCCCUUUUCACUCUUCUACUUGUAUGUGUUAGCAUGGUAUGUUUUGAGGGAGAAAUUGAUGGAUUGCUAUGCUUGAAUUGUAUUUAGAAACUAUAUUUAUUUAUUUCCGUGACAAUAUUGAACAUCUUCCUGCCAACUGCUGGGUCAGGGUGCUGAACUUGCAGCAGAUGAAGGAAGAAGUGCUGCAGCUUUGGCAGCUUGUAAAACAUUGGCAGAAGAGCUUACAGAGUUACGAUUUCCAGCUCCUCGCAUCCUUGCAUUUAAGGUUCUUUUUCUUUUAAAUUGCCCCAACCUUCUAUUAACUGUGCAUUGUCACGGUUUUUUUUUUUUAGCUAUCAGAAAGAAAAGAACCUAAUGAUGUGGUUUGUCGCAGGAGGGAAGCUCUCAGGCUCGAUAUUUCGUUUCUCGGCUGAUACCAGCACACAAGGAUCCUCCUUACGAGCAGGUAAGAGGAAAAUGGGAAAGCCUUUUCGCUUUUGGUCAUAAUAGGCCUAUAUCUAUGUCUGUAUUUUAUUGAAAAUGAGUAUUUAGAAAAAAAUUAACAAUGGCGUGAUACGUAUGCAGGAGGCAAGAUUUCCACAGCUUCGAACCUUGACAACAGAACAGCGGACAAAACUGAAAAGCAGUUUUAUUCAUUUUGAUGAUCCUAGCUUCUGUGAAUGGAUUCGGAGUUUGAAAGUGGUGCCACCAGAACCAAUCUAGGAGAUGUUUUACCUUUUUUCGCCAAAAGGGGGAGUCCCAGAGAGUUGCAUCCAACCAUCAUUUAUUGGGAUUUCUACUUCUUUUUGUUCUUCUCCUUGUGAGGGGAUUGUAAAUGUAACUCAUUCAUGUUUUCUUUUUUCGUUUCUUUUUAUUAAUUAUUAUUAUUAUUUUCUUUUCUUGCUCUCUCUUUGAUAAAAAUAUCACCCUCAUUUAAGCUUCAAAUAAACAGCUAUACUUAAUAGAAACUACAAAGUUUUUAACAUUUUUCACUUUCUUUGCUUAAAAUGCUUUAGUAGAGAGCAAUAGUUUCACUUUACUGCUACCCUCCUGUUUUGGCUUUGUGUCCUAUUCCCCAAUUUAAUUUAAAAAAAUAUAUUUUUUCAUAUAUGUAGAAAAUCAUAUUUUUAUAUUUAUGUUUAAAAAUAUAUCCGAAUACAAUUGCUUAGGUUUUGUGUUGUAAUUUUUCAAACAAAAAACAGAUCUCAAUCAUGUGAGGCUUUUCUGCUGGUUUCUCAUAGAUAUCAAUUUCUACAUUUUAAAUCCCUUUCAUUACCAUAGGGACCAUAACAACAUAGAAUUAAAAAAUAAUAAUAAUAAACAGCUCUUUCAUUCCAUUCUGACUGCAAAAAAGAAAAAAAAAAAAAAAAACUGGCAAGUCAUAUUGAACUUGAAGCAGAGCCCUUUAAUUGGGUUCGUCACCAUCAAGAAUUUCCUCCAUGAUUUGAUUGAUAGCACUUCCUCGAGCCUAUAGUUUAAAAGACAAAUAUUUCAGCACAUAGUCAAAAACACCCUAGGUUAAAAAACAAUCAGCAAAUUCGAGAUCCUAACCUUUACUCCAAUUGCAACAGCUGUUUUUAGCUUUACAAGCUCACCCAAUCUUAAGGACCCCUUUUUAUCAUCUUUAACAAUGAUCAACGGUACCUUUCUUGAUUUAGCCAACGUUGGCAGGUGCUUCGUCAGCCACUUUGGGUUGCAAUCAGCAGCUAACAAUAUAGCCUACAAACGCAACAAACAUACACCAAGUCUCGAGCUACUUAACAGCAAACGUACAAGCAAUAAAAAACUAACCCUAGCUGCUUGUUAAAACAUGGGUAAAACCAGGAUAGCUAACCUGAAAUCUAACAAAAGGUGAUUGGGCAGUGCUCCCGUCGUCAAUAAUGGCUGCCAUCCGUUCAAGUACACGUGUUACGUCAUUAACACCGAUUGCAAAUUGUUGCUAAAAAUGCCACAAAUAUUAUAAUCAGACAAUAAUAAAACCACAAGGUUAGUCGAAAAAAAUGAGUACAGCAUUGGCUAAGACAUCAAACCUUAAGCCACACUUUUUCAGGCAAGGAGUUUCCAGCCAGCGCUCUGGCUGACUCUAUCCCUCUGUUCAUUGAAAUAACAUAAUAAAAUUUAACUACGUAAAACAACAAGUAGUUGAAUUGAAAAAAAAAGGGUAUUUGUUAAUCGAAGCUAAUUGUUUCGAAUUAUUUACCUUCGGAUUGAUUCAAGCACGUGAAUGAGCCGUUCUCCUUCAUAGCAACUUUCAGGACCCGAAGAAAAAUAAAAAAGUAAGAAAUCAAAAGACAGUUUUUAUAAAAUCUAAUGAAAUUAAAAGAGACAUACUCUUGCUGUUGAGGAAGGGCGCCAUCCUGAAUGUUGUUUUUGGCCGCCUUGUUUCUAGGCGGCAUGUUUCUUGUUUGCAGAGUUCGCUCGCUACUUCUUCGAUGAAAAGUUCAUAAGAAAUCUAUUUAGAAAAGUUCAUUGAACUUUAUGGGGUAUUAUGGUCCUAAAAUUGGCCCAUUUAUAUAGUUGUCAAGUUAAUAGGCCCAUGGCUAGUUCCAAUCUUGCAUGGCUAUAACAUUUUAAAAAAAAAAUUCAUUCCUUCUAAAAAAAAAACUAAACCAAAUCCAAUGAUCCAAAAAAGGAAAAGUUUAGGCUUAUUAUCCAAAGAGAUGGAAAAAAAUAGAGGUAAGCAAUGAUAUUAGCAAAGUGUGACCGGUUUAAAUAUACUACAAUCUAUUCUUUCAAAUUUUAAAAUUUAAUCUUUAUAUUUUAAUUUAAAGGACAUUAAAUAUUUAUAUUUUUUUAUUUAAAAAUUUUGGUCUCUCCGUUUAAUUCCGUCAUUAAAGUUAACCAUGUCAAAAGUAAAAUAAUUUUUUAACGCUCAAUAAUUAUAUUUUUAUCAAUUUGGUCCUUUUACUUUAAAAUUACAUAAAAUUCUUAAAAUAUUAUUUUCAUACUUUAAAUAAAAUUAAUAAAAAUUAAAAAAUAUAUAAUUUUUAUAAAAUUUUAAAAAUGGUUUUAAAAAAUAUAAAUAAAAAUUUCAAAUCUCAAUGUUAUCUAAAUCAGACUGAACCAACUAGUUCGAUGGGGAACCUGUUGGGUAUCGGUCCAAUGAGAGGUAAAAAAAUUAGUUGAUUUGCGAAUCGAUACAGAUUGGUUGAAUCAAGUGAAAAAUCAGUUGAACCGAUUUUGAAUUGGUCUAACAAAUUGGUUCUAAACAACCAGCCCAAUCAUUUCAAAACAAAUAAAUUAUUAAAAAUUAUAAAGAUAGAUUCAAUUGCCAAUUCAACUAUGCUUCAGUCCGGUUCAACUAGUCUAUAUCGAUUCAUAGGUCUAUCGAAUUUUAAAACUUUAAAACUUUUUUAGCCCUCUACAUUUAUAGUUUUUUUGACAAUUUGGUCCAUACUCUUUAAAAGUAUGCAAAUUUUUUAGGUAAACUACCUAACUAGUAACUCAACUUUUUAGGUGCUUUCAUUUUGAUCACUCAAAUAAAAAAAUUUCAAAUUGGUCGCUACCGCUACAAUAAUUUAUUGUUUUGGUCACCUAUCCAUUUUCUCAUUAACGAAGCCUGAUGUGACAUGACACAUAAUGUGCAUAUAAUUAGUCCUUGUAGGCUGAUAUUUUCCAUGUAAGUAUAUAAAUAUUUUAAAUCCAUUCUCUUCUUUUCUUUUCACCAUAAUGUAAAAGCUCUAAUCCUAAAAUUAUCUUUUUUCAUAAACUUUCUAGUAUGUUUUCUCUAAACGAAUUUCCUGAUAGAUGCAAUAAUUGUAAGCUUGCAAGACAGGUUUGUUCUUUGGGAGUGUUCUCAAUGAGAUUAUUGUUUGAAAGAUCCAUGGUGGUAAUUAGUUAAAGAAUGUGGUAUAUUCAUGGAGUCUCCCUUUCAUACUAGCAAUUCGCUCCUUAAAAACUCCCAUUAACGAAGUAAUCAAUAAUUGCAUUUGUGUCAUCUGGUUUGGCAACCAUUGCAGUUAAAUUUUGGAAACAUUUUGGUAUUUCCCGACAAAUUGUUCACACCAAGGUCCAAGAUUUGCAGUGAACUAGGCUCUCAAAGCUCACAAUUUUGGGUAAGGGCUUUUACGUUACCAAAAAAUAGGAGAAGAAAAUAGAUUUAAAAUAUUUACAUAAUUACAUGGAAAUGUCAGCCAGCAAGGACAGACAUCACGUGUCAUGCCAUAUCAACUUCCGUUAUUGAGAAAGUAAACGAGUGACUAAAAUGAUAAAUUAUUUGAUCAAAUUGAAAUAUUUUUUUAUUUGGGUGAUCAAAAUUAAAGCACCCAAAAUAUUAAGUGAUCAACUAAAUAGUUUACUUAAUUUUAAAAAAAUUAAAUUAUAAUAUAUUUAAAAAAUAUAUAUUUUUUAAAAAAAUUAUAAAUUAUAAAAAAUAUAUAUGAAAACUCUUUAAAAUUCAAAAACAAAAAAUAAAAAGAUUUUUUAAAAUAUAAAAAAUUAAAAUUUAAUGUUAUUUAAAUUAGAUUAAAAAUUAAGUGUGCAUCGUAUGAUGAGAAUUCAGAUUAAAAAAUCAGUUGAAUUGGGAGUUUGGCUUUUGAUAUUUUUUUUUCUGGAUAAUACUAAAACUGAGGGGUUGAAACAUUGGAGUGCCUUCAAAGUCUUAACCCAUUAAAGUAGAAGCCCAAAUCACCUUAGUUAUCAUAAACCUCGGAUGAAAGGGUAUUUUAUCAAUCAGACGAUAUCAUUUCACUACUAAUCAAAUUCAUUAAUUUAUUAAAUAAAAACACUUAAUUAAAACAUAAAUAAGUGCUUGUCCAUAAUUUUACUAUACAUGUGUAUCUCUUCGUAAAAAACUUUAAAUUUAAUUAUUAUGUAGAAAGAUUUUCUACAACACAAGAAAUUCAUUCUUACAGUUAUGCUUAGGAUAAUAUAUUCUCUAGGGAAAGUAUAGUGCAUCUUUAGAUUAGAAAAGGCGGUCAUUAUCUAACAACCAACAAUAAGUAUACUGUUGUUGAUCAAAAGAGUAGCAAGAAAUCCCUUAAUAUCUCGGAGGUGCAACUGUAUUUGCCUGUACAUCAGAUCUUGUUCCAAAUAUUUUACUGUUUUGAUCAAAUUGAACAUCGGAUGGCGCCUGGAAGUGGAACUACCUGUUUUUAUGAUCAUACAAGAGAUGGACCCUUCUCUCUAACCGGCUGAUUACCUAGCAAACGCUUAUGCAAUAAAAAGUGAAAAUAUCACGAGCCUGAGAAGACCCAAAUUUUUAAUCACCCUGGCUAGUUAGCCGAAAAAGUGGUGCAAGACUGUGGAAGCUGGGGUGAUCCGGGAAGAGUAGCUACCCCAUUGGAGGAAUUGUUAUUGCCACCGUUGUUUCUUUUUGGUGCUCCAAUAAUUUUCAAAAUAGCUGCGGCUAAGGCUCUGCUGAAAUUUGGAUCAGAAGCAAUGGCUGCUGUAACAGUUUCAACCAUAGAAACAGGACGUUGCCAUAACUGCAUUGCCGAUACUGCAGAUAACUUGGGAGGAGCCAACAUGGAGUGCCCUAAAAUCUGUGGGUAACCGUGCACAGGUAGUGGAAAUGUAGCUGCGGAAGGCGGCGGCCAUAAGAAGGGAACGGCAUUUGGGCCCUGAGUCAAGUCAAGGGUUACGAUAGGGAACGGUGCCGCUGAGGGGGCCAUUGUGGAUGCAUAGGGUAAGGAAGGAAAGUAGCCAAAACUUGGUAGGCUAAGGCCAUCCUUGCUUGUUGUUGAACCUGAUAGCAACAUUGCUGCAGCGGCUGACGUAGUGUUAGCCAGAGCAGUGGCUGCUGGUGGUAGAGGAUGAUUGUGAUUCCCUUCAUAUGUGGUUAUGAGAAUGCUUUUAUCCUCCGCACAUCUUUGCACCUGCUUACGUACUGGGCAGCCAACAGCCAUGGUGCAACGGUAGUAGGCUCGUGGGCAAGGAUUACCCUUGGCCAGCUUUUGACCAUAUUUCCUCCAUUGACAUCCAUCGCUAAUCUGAAAAUUUUCAUCCAUCAUUUUCCGCAAAUUUGUCUUAAACGUUGCAAAUAGAAAUUGUACAGAAGCACUUUAGUAUAUAUACUUACCAAGGGAGCUUCUGAUCUGGCUCUAAUCGACACUCUGGCUUUCCUAAAAGGUACUUCAGAGACUUGCUCUUCCUUGUUAGAAUGAUCUAGCUUUAGACAUUUUGUCGGUCUCCAGCUUUGAGACGUUUUAUCGGAACCAUCUUCAACAGAAGCGUGCUUUCCUGGAAUUUGAUGUUCACCUUCCUUCGAUACAACUUCCAUAUUUUUCCCCGGGGAUGCUGACAAAUCUUGUGUUCUAUCGUUAGAUGCCGAAGGUUCAUUGACAUCUAAUGCAGCCGAUGGUCGUGGGUCCAUGAACUGUGGGACUGACAUUAUGGGACUUGACGUGCCAUUUACUGCAUCCUUCUGUUUGAAAAUAAAACUCUUUCAUUAGCCAAUAGCCACACACACACACAUAUAAGCUUGAUAUAUUCAUCCAUGAGAGUUGAAAAACAAUGCUAGUCUUAUUAAACAAUCUCCAUCGCGCAUCUAAAUAUCAAAAUCAAACGACACUGUUUUAUAUUUAGGGUAUACACCAUGUACUGAUUUAACCUAAGAACGAUGGGGGUUUGAAGAAAGGAAAACAAACUCUUUUAUCUUUUUAUUUAGAAUCGUCUAAAGAGUGCAUACGAUGGGUUGGAAAAUAAGCCUAAAUAGGUGGUUGAGCUGACGCCGCCUAUUUUGUUUAGUUGCUAGUCUUUUUACUCUAGCCCUUCAUUUACAAGGGCAAUAGGUGUGGCACUUGGUGCAACGUAUCUAUAGAUUGGGGGAUUGAAUUGUUCAUUAAUUUAAUGACAAUUUUACCUUGAAAGAUAUAGGAAGUUUUCCAAAACAACAAGGUCUAAAUGUAAAUGUAAAAAUUUUCGAGAAAAGAUGAUACCGGAUCAAGGGAGCGCACUCUCCCAUUCAUGUGAAGCACGUUAACCAAGUUUACUUAUUUAAUUUACACAUAAAAGGGACAUAUUUGAUGAAUUGUCAACACCAUAGAAAUAAAUAUUAACAAGCUUUAAUGUUUAGUUGUUCUUAAGAGGAUAAAAUGAUUUUGAUUCUUCUAUAUCUGAUUGAAUACUGAAUUACAUAGCAAACUGAUGAUAUAUACUAGAAAAUAUCUGGUGUUUUGAAUUCAACUUAAAUAUUUCACCUUUUCUGUUUUAUUUCCAAGCGCCAGUUUUUGCACCGCCAUGAAUAGUUGACCUUGCAGCUCUUUGUAGCUUUUGGUAAUCUGACCCAACGUGCAUCUCAGUCUCCUAUUCUCUUCAUUUAACCUUUCUAACGCAAUCUUAACAUGACUGAUCUGAAAACCCCAAUUCACCAUUCAACAAAUUGAAACUCAUAGACCAAAGAAAAUUUUAAAAAUAUGGUAGAACGUUUUUCGAGUAAGAAAUAAGAACAACUUACUUCAGCUUUGGGUUUCUCUUCAUUGGCUAUCCUUGAAACUCCAGAGCUUGAACUGAGAAGAUUUAAUCCAAUCUAAAACGCCAUAUAUAUUUAGUCAAUGAAAGUAAACUCAAAAUUUCCAUAAUAACUCCAACUAGUACUACUAUGAAUUUAAAUUAAUAAAUAUAAACAGAAUUUUUUUUAAAUAAAUCAUAUUAUAGUGAUAAUAAUGAUAAUCCAAAAACCUUACGUUUACAUCGGAAUCUAACAAAGAAGAUAAAGGACUAUUAUUAUUAUUAUCAAUCUUUCUCCCUUGAUGACAAUCAUGUGAUUGAUUAUGAUUAGGAAAGAAAUCCAUUUCCUUGAUGAGAGGCUUAACAUGAUCGCCGGAAUCAUCUAGGGCACCAUCAGGUUCACCAGAAUCCUGGGUGGGACAAUCACCAGAGUGCAAGAACCUCAGUUCUCGACGGAGCUGCUUCUCCAUGACUAAAGGAGAAACUAGAACAAAGAGAAAUAAGAGAGCGGUAGUUAUGUAGCUUUUUCAAGCUUUCAACAAGAAAGGAGCAUUUUCACCAUACUUUUAUAAUAAAAUAUGGUAAUACUACUGUUAAAAAAAGAAACGACUUAACCUUAGAGAGGUGGUCCAAAAUUUUAUAUAUAAAAAAAGGAGUAUUAAUGUGAUCUCUAAGGACCUAUCAUCGACUUAUCGUCCAGUCUCAUCCGUUGGAAUGAAAGCUUACCCUUUUUUCCUCGCGGGAGAUAUGUCGUGACAAUUGAUUGCAAAUUGGAGACGUGGCAAAUUUUGGGUGAGGUGGAACAAAGCAAGGAGUGAAACGGUAGGGGUUGAGACGGGAAGAACGGAUAGGGUAUGAGCGAUCCGUUUGGGGACGUCGUCUUGAGGUCAACGUAAUUGACGGCUCGGGUCCAUCAGAUGGUGGUCAGGGAUUUUAAAAAAAAGUUUGGUCCAGGCCCGGUUACGGGAGAAUACCUAAUCUCACUGACUUAAACCAUGUCAUCACGUCAUUUUUUAGAUUAAUUAGUUCACAUUCACGCCAUCAUAUGCUUCUCUGCCUGUACUUAUAUUGUUACCGGUGAAUUGAGUAUUAAUGCAAUUAGAAAUUUAUUAAAUUAUUUCUAUUAUAAAAUAAAUUAUAUUAUUAUAUAUGUGUUUUUUUUAAUGUAAAAUCAAUAUAAAAAAACAUAAUAUUUGGACUUCCGAGGCAAAGAAUUUUAAAUCUUCAAUUUCAUCCUUUCAAUAAAAAUUCAUUUGAUUUUUAUAUAAAUUUUAAUAAAUUUAUUUAUUACAAAAAUUUUCACCCAUUAUGCUGCAAAAUUUUUACUCGUUUGUUUUGCUUAUUUACUAAAAUAAAAUACCAUAAUGGGUUUUAAUAUAUUGGAAUAAAAUUUAAAGUUAUGCAUUAACUUUGAUUUAAUGUGUAAUUUGAUACAUGAACUUUCAUUUAGUGUAAAUAUACUCAUGAAACUUUGACUGUGGUUCAAAUGUAUACAUGAAACUUUAAUUUUGAUUCAAUCAUACACAUUUAAAGAAAUAAAGACAUCAAUAUAUUUUUAUAUUAGAUAAAUAUAACUAUUUGCAUAUACAAUAUAUAAACUUAAAAUGUUACUAUAUCAAUAAUUGUGUUAAUAAUUUGUAAAAAUUGAAUUAAAUUAAAAUCUCAUGUAUAAAAUUACAAUUAGAUAAAAUUUCAUGUAUAAUUUCAAGAUUUAACCCUAAUAUAUAUAAAAAAAUUAUAUUUUUAAGAAAUAAAUUAAUUAUGUUAUAGGUUUGCCUUUUUUCACAAACGUCAAGUUUUAUUAAAAUCUAGAUCUCAAUAUGGUACAUUUUUCUUUUCACCAUUAAAUAAGAAGAUAAAUGCGAUCGAACUCAUGUCCUCACACUUUGACAAUAAUGUCUCUACUAACUAAUAAAAUUCCCCUAUUAUAAAGUAAAAUGAACGGGAAAAGUGAGCUGAUAUUUUGGAGAGGAAAGGAAAUCAUGAAGGGGAAACACCACAACAAAUGAAAGAAUUGGAUGAAAUAUUGAAAUAUCCAUAUAAUCCUUUUAAAUUCAAUGAUCAUAAUUUGGUUUUAUUAGUUUUAAAUACAAAAAAUAAAAACAAAAAGCAUUAUAGGUUACCUUGGUUUGAUCAUUGUUAUUAAAAAAGAUAUCUCAUAAUGAAAUAGAGAUUUAGAGAAAAGAACACUUAUGAAUACCCACUCAAAUUUGACAAAAAAAAAAAGUAUUCAUAAACUCAUUUUACAUCUAUUUAAAAAGAGAAUUAUACCUUUGCUAUUAGUUGCUUACGUAAUUUUUUUGUUUUAUUUAUUAUUCAUUUUUAAUUAUAAAAUAAUAAAAAUCAAUCAUAUAUUAGAGUAUUAUAUAAUUGAAUAUAUUUAACGUAUUUGAUAAACAAAUAUAUUUAAUUUUAUUAAAAUAAUAUUUUAAUUUUUUUCUAAUAGAGUAGGUACCAAUUAAUUGGAGGAUUUAUUAUAAAAAUUUCAAAUAAGCACGCUCGUCAUGCAAUUAGGUAGUAGAAAUUGGCGGUGUCGUGUCAAAGGGUUAGUCGCACCUAUUAACUAGUAGAUGCUUCCUAGUCUGCUAGCCUAGCUACUAAAACUUGUUACUUAACGUCAUUGAAUACUUACUUAACAUUUUUAUUGAACUUAGUAGAAUCCAAAUGGGAGAUUGGGCGGCACAAAUUUUGACUCUCUUGAAGAGAUUUUGUCACAUACGAUGUAGCUUGGAAGAAAAUGCAAAUAUUUUCAUUUUUAAACAAGUUAAUAUUACGAUGGUUAAACAUGUAUAGGUACAUCAUAUCUAGUUGGAGUAUUUGGGGUGUAAGUGAAACAUUAGUACUCGCAAGUUACUCGAAUUUGAUUGGAAAAAAUAUAUAUGAACUUGAUUCAGUAAUUAUCGAGCCUAGGCAACUCGAGUUAUUUUUCGAACCAAAUUUAAACUUAAUAAUACCCGACUUGAAUGGCUCACAAGCCUUAUCGAGUUUUUCAUAUUUUUAUAUUAUUAAAUUAUAUUAUUAACCUUAAGCUUAAUUAUCGAGCUCGAGUGUUAAAAUUGAUAAACAAGUUUAACCAAGAUCGAACUCAAGUAGCCAAGCUCGAGCUUAAAAAUAGACGUUUGAUUCGAGCUCAAGUCAAGUAUCGAACUCCAAAUCUUGAAUUAAACUCAAGCUAGAGCUCGACAGUAUUUGUGUUUGGCUCAGCUCGAUUGCACCCUUAAUUGUCUUCUCCCUUGCUAAAAUUAUUUUUCAUAAAAUCUUUUUAAUAGAAAAUGAAUUCUGGAUGUUUGAUGUUAUUUCAAAUUUAAGAGAGAGGAUAUAAAUAGAGAGUGUUACGUACAUAAGAAUUAGAUAAUGUUGCCCUUGGACUCCACCAUGUCAAUCUUCCAAGCAAUUUGUGUACACGGUACCACAAAUUUUAAAUUGACUUUGGCUAACAAUGCUAGUGAUUUUCUUUAAAUGAAAUUUAAUAUGGUUCAUUGACUAAAUAUAUAUUAAUCUGAAAUUAUACGGAUGACAAAAUUGACAAUUGACAUUAUCCUGUAAUUUUUACAGCUGUUUUUGAAAUGGAUGGUUUUAUUCAUUAGAAAUAAAUGUGUUUCAAUUUCACAAGUCAUUUAAAAAAUUCAUAAAAUUACAUAUAUAUUUCUUCGAAAAUUCAGACAAGAUGUUUGGCAAAAGCAAAAGAUAAUUGAAACUUGGCAAGAAGUAGUCAAACUUUUGCCACAAAAACUUGCAACAUAUGUUAUAAAAUGGGCAAGGAGAUUCUAAAUUAAGCUUUAAGGUGGAGACUCCUUUGGGAUCUAGUUUUGAUGCUAGUAUGGAAGACACUAGGGGCGGGGACGGAGGCGGAAGAGCAACCAAAACUGUAAGAUUAAGGGAAGAUGAUCCUCUUGAUAUAAGUGAUAUGAUGGGUGAUAACUCAAUCGAUUCAUGUAUAUCUUUCAAAGAUAAGCUUAUGACUUUCUUUAGUGUCUUGAAUUAAUAGAAGAUGAUGUUAUCAUCGACAAUAUUGUUGAUGGUAUAUCAACAAUAAGGUUUUUUCAUAGUAUUUACAAUUGAUCGGAUAAAUUUAUGAAUUUCUUUAGUGUCGUGAAUUAAUCAGAGUUACUUUUUACUAAAUCAAUCCUUUUAGCCAUUUCAAAUUAUUUGUAGAUGAUGAAAUUUUUUGACUAAUUAUAAAAUCCCGCAUAUCAAGUCAAAAUUAUUGUGGGUCAAGUCAAAAGUAUCAUAUGUAAAAUUGAUGACUUUAUAUACUAUAUCAUAAUUAUUUUUCUAAUUAAUUUAAAUUAACUAAGAGAUUAAUUAUUAAAAAUUAUAUAAUCACUAAUUAAGUGAUUAUUUUAUCACCUAAUAAUCAUUUAAUAUUAUCACUCCGAAUGAAGAGUUUACAUUUCAUUGAAAUUCCUCUGCUAUUCGAGUAACUGACAUUAUAAAAGAGAUCACCACUAAGUCAUCCUACACAUUUCACAAAUUCAAAAAUCCAAAAGUUUUCUGAAGAAAGUGAAGAACUUGAAAAUUUUUUGAAGAAUGUCGCAUCGAUUAUAAAGAAAACUUGCCUUCCGGUCCAAUUCAAUCAAGUUGAGGAAGUCAAAAGUUGUUUCUAAAUAAAGUCAUCUUUCAAUUCAAUUAACUAGAGAAGGAAGAUCCAAACUUGUUUUAAGAGCAAGUCAACACGAAACUUAAAGCGGCCCGCAUCUAUCCAAGAUCAAAUUUAGAUGACUCUUAGAUCAAAGUUUAACUGGAGAGAAAAAUUAAAAAGGUUUUUUUUAUAUUCAAGAAAUCUAGAGGUGUAACCACUACAGGAAAAUAGGGCUUUAGCGGCGUUUUAUCAAAAACGCCGCAAAAAUUAUAAAACACGGAGCAAUAGCGGCGUUUUUGGUAAAACGCCGCUAAAAACAGAGCAUUAGCGGCGCUUUUGGUAAAACGCCGCUAAAAACCAAAGCAUUAGCGGCGCCUUCGAUAAAACGCCGCUAAAAGUCAUAUAAUCCCUAAAGCCCUAAACCCUAAAAAAUAAUAAACACUAAUCUAUAACCCUUAAAACACUAAACCUCUAAAUCCUAAAGACCCCUAAACACUAAACUAUAACCCCUAAAACCCUAAACUCCAAAAAACAUCAUAUGGAUGUUGAUGUGUAUAUACAUAGAUAUUAAUGUAAAAGCUUAUGUUCAUAAUAAAUUAUGGAAUUAAAACUGAAUGAGGUUUGAAACGAUAUCACAUACAAUUAAAGAAUUUCAAUUUGAAAGAGUGUAGCUUAAAACUGAAUGGGGUUUGAAAGGGAAGAAAAAGGUCUAAACCUUUGAAACAUGAACUACAAUUGAACAACAUUGGUGUGUUGGCAUACAAAUUAGACGACAUGUUUGAUGGUAUUGGGAUGUCACCCAACUGUUGACUGAGUCUUAGCAAUUAACAUUCAACGCCAAUUGUGAAUUGUGAAUUUAUUUAAAUUUUCAUUUAUGAAUGUAAUUUAAUUAUGAUUUUAGGGUUGUUUUAGCAAAAAGUAAUAACAAAUAUUAUUAUCUAAACAUGAAUUAUCAUCAAAUUAACUUUAAAACUCGAAUUAAAUACUAAAAAAUAUCAAACUCGGGUACCAAAUUAUACAUUAAACCAAAAGAAAAUAUAAAUUAUUAUUUUGGUUUUUAUCUUUUUAAAUAAGUAAAAAGGAAAUUAAUAGCUUCGACUUCAAUACUAUAUUCAAAUCGAGCAAAAGUGACAAAAACAAAGUCAACAUUUUUUUUUAUAAAAUCUAACACUAAAAAACAAAAAUUAAAUUAGUAUUUUAGGCUUUGUCUACAGAGGAAAUUCAUAUAAUCAGCAUUACAUCAUCAAAUAAAUUUUACUAAUUCAAUAAAUUAGUAUUUUAAGUUUUGUCUAAAAAGGAAAUUCAUAUAUUCAAACAUUUUUUUUAUUCAAUGAAAAACUCAGCAAAAAGUAAACAAUAGUAGCGUUUUUAUAUGAAAACGCCGCAAAAAAUAUUUUCCUUCAAACAUCACGCGUUUUAUCCCCAAAAUUUUCCCCUGUUAAACCCUUGAUUUUUCCCCCGUUGGUGCCUCUUAUUCUUUCUUCCAUUUCAGGUGCCUUAAGAAUCGCUCCCUCGCUCCUACCACAUCCACUCACUCUCCCCUACUAUGAUGUUCGUCUCUCUAAUUAAAGCCAUUUAAUAAAAAUUUUAGUCUUUUUUAUAAAAAUCCAAUUUAUAAAAAUAUUAAUAAUAAAUAUUUUAUAAAAUCAUUUGACUAAUAAUUUUCACCAGACAAAACAAGGGAUUUUAAGCAAAAUAAAUAAAAUGAUUUUUUCUAGCGUUUUUUUGAAAAACGCGGCAAAAGAUAAGCAAUAGUGGCGUUUUUCAUAAAAACGCCACAAAAAAUCAUUUUACUUAGAACAAAACUACGCCGUUUUACUCUACUAAAAACCUAUUUUGUUUCUCCUAAACCACAACCCCGAAAUCCCUUAUUAAUUUUAUCCUCAAAUUUUACCCAUUGGAACGUCUAAAAUUUCCCCCUAAAAUCGGUAUCCCCAAAACAUAUCUAAUUUUUCCCCCAAAUCGAAAUCCCCAAAUCAAAAUCCUUCCACCAUUUCCGUGUCGCCAUACUGAUCCCUAAUCCUCAGCAUCUCUCUCACUGCAUUUCUUGCUUCUUUAAAUCUCCAUCUCUAAAUCUCCAUCCCUUUGAUUUUCGCCGAAAUCUAGUAAGUCUAAGUUCAAAUCUUGUAUGGGUAAGCUAAUCUUUUUCCUUUUUUGGGUAUUUGUGGGAGAUUUAUCUUCAAUACAUUCAAACUUUGACCUUUUUAUUUAAUCUAUUUCUGUUAUGGAUAUUGCAUUUUCUCCUCAUUUUGUAAUCUUUUACCUUUGGUUUUUGUUAUCUGUUCUCUUCUCAGAUAGUUUCAUGAUUGCAGAUUUUAAGAAAUUUAAAGGAUGCUUUCUGGCCAUUUCAACGUGGUACUGCUGAUAGUUUAUUCUUAAGGCAGCAAAUGCUGCUAACUGUAUAGAUAAAUUUAAUGGCUUUGAAGAUAGGUAUUUUAUCUAUAUUUCAAUUCAAUCUGUAUUUAGAUGUUAUUUUGGUGUUCUAGGUUAUGAUUUCACAUUUAUUUCAUGCAGUGGGUAUCGGCUUGCAUCUGCAAAGGCUGCUCAACAUAGGCUAGAUCGGGAUGUCUGGACCAGUGUUCAUUUUGGGGAUAUGAGGCGUGCUUUAUCUGGUAUGAUUAGAUGGUGUUGCAUGAGUAAAUACUUUUUUAUUUUAGGUAUCACAUAUCAAGAUCAUUAAAUGUAAAGAUAAUUGAAACUUAUUAUUGUGCGUUCCUUCUCUCGUUCUCAUUCCUUGCAACAGAAAGGGUUCAGAAAAUUAUUUGCACUAUUUCCAGUUUUAGCAUUCGAUCUUCAGUUCAAAGCUUUUGGUUUCAGCUAUUAAGUUCAUUAUCUUUUUUCUCCGCUUUUGAAUUUCCUUUCUCAAACCUGCUUUAGGUAAAAUUUCGUCUUCUUUUUGCUCAUGAAGUUGUAUGGCUCAAUGCAUUUCUGAUGUAAUGUCAAGGUUUAUGUACUUCUAUUAUGAUGAAAUUGUUACCAUAUUUCCAGCAUGUGAACGCUUUAUUCUUCUAAGAACCAAUCCGAAGGAAAUGAGAGAUUAUAGCAUUCUCCUCUAUCAUUGUGGAUUGUACGAGCAGGCUCUGAAAUUUCUCAAAUUGUAUCAAGACAUGAAGGUAAGUUUCAUGGUACACCUUAAUAUGCAACUUCGAACUCUGUUUGAAGAAUUGGGACAAACAUGUUUAGUGAACUAUUUUCAGAGUUCUUCCGCACAAAAUCCGUCAACAGAUCCAGUUAGCAACCCAGAAGAAGAUGCUGUGAAGAAAUUGAUUGUACGUCUCAAUUUCAUUGCAAUGGAGGAAGGUUGGACCUGGCCAUGGUAUGUCAGAAAUUAUCUUGGCAAUAACUCUGAGCCAUGGUAAGAGCUUCAUACAUUUUCUUGUGGUGUUUUAAAUUUCAACAUUACCUUCUCCGAGCUGGAUGGUCAACUUAAGAGUGAAUUUACAGAAACUGAGUUCACAUGUCCCUUAACUGUGCAGUUUAGGAUCAUAACACGAACCUGCACGUAGCAUAAGACGGAUUGAUCCGUACUUAGGAUUCGACCUAGGCAUAUUGCAAAAUGAUGAAAUAAGGUAAUAGAUAAUUGCAUUUGGCCUUGGGUUCUAACAUAUGGUUAAUUUAGUAUACGAGUUUUUUAGGCUGCCUUAGUAGUAUUAUCUUAUCCAUGUACAGUAACAAAGAUUUUGUUUUGGCUUACCUUAAAUGGUUGUAAAUGAUUGUUAUUUGGACCUGUUGUGUAUUUAACAGUGUAUGAAAAUAGAAAAUAUGAAUACAUCACAAGCUAUUAAUAUCAAACCUAUACAGUAACCACUAUAAAAAAAAUUGAAUAAUAAGGCUGCUGAUUUCAUGGCAAAUAUGAGCAGAACAGCUCCCUUGGGUCUGAUUGUGUUUGUUGAGCCGUAGAGUCAAUUUUUCUCCAUUAUAUUAAUUGGAGUUCCUAUUUAGACUUUCUAGCUGGAUUACUAUUUUCUUUUAUAAUAAAAAUAUUUUACUUAAAAAGGAAAAUUGUUUUAUAAGCUGUGGAAUUUUUUAACUUCAUUAGAGAGUUGACAAACAUCUACAAAAUUUUGUUUAUGGACAUGAUCACUCAUUUAUCGUUUUCUAGCUUUGGUCAUAGUUGAUGAGAUUGUCAUGUUUGAUAGAGCAGAGGUAUCAAAUUUCCAUCUAGAUCUUUAUUCUUUCACUUUGUUUUUGAAUGAUAUUUUUGAAACAGUUAAAGCUACGUUGGUAUGGUUCGAAAUCCGUGUUGUUGCUGUAGAAUACAAGGCAUUAUUCAGAGGUAAUUCCUUUUAGAGUAGUAUUAUAUUUGUUUGCAUGUCCUUAUUGUGUGGUUGUCUAUGUUUUGUUCAAUGCUGCCAACCAGAUUUAGUAUUGUUAGAUAUGGCACAUAAGUGUAUUAGUUUCAAGGUUGUAUCUUUGGCUUGGAGAGAAAUGAUAAGUUUGAUGUGCAUCCCCUGAACAAGUAUGUUGUUCAGGGGAAUUAAUAGCUGAGUGAUAUCUUUCAUGUGUAUUUGGAUGUGAUUAAAUGAUUAGAGAAAUCAUUUUUUUAUACAGUAUCAAAAACCCUUGACAACAUAACCACUAUCAUUUUGAUGUUUAAAUUACAUUUUAAGCUAUUAAUAUGCUUAAAUUAUAUUUUGAUGUUUUUAAAAUUAGCUAAUAAUUUAUGAAACGUGGCAAUUUUAAAUUAAAUUAAUUUAAUUUAAUUUAACUAAUAAAAAUCAAAUUUAAUAAAAUUAAGUUUUCAUUGUUUUACUCACUCUCUUCGCAUGAUGAUCCUUUUUUUUUAUGCAUUUUUUUAACUGUUAGAUAAUUUUUAUUUGUAAUUCUUUUACCUGUUUUUACUCAUUUUUUUCAAGUAUUUGAAUUUAAUGUGUUAUCCAAUUUUUUUUUGUUAUAUAUGUUUAUCUAAUAUUAAUUAUCUUAUACAAAGUAUAUAGAAAAGAAUAAAAAAUUUUAUUUUUAAAAAAAUUUAAAAAAUGAAUUUUGAAUUUGGAUGAAAAAUGAGUCGAAAUUGAGAUUUAAAAACAAAAAAAAAAAGCUUGCCGAAGUUUAGGUUUUGUUAUUGAAAAGUAGGUUUGGAUGAACUUGAAUUUUCUAUAGCUAAGUUGUUGGGUGGAGAAAAAAAAGAAAUGUAUAUAUUUAUAAGUUUUUUUUUUUAGAAAGAAGUUUAAGGAAAUAAAAAUUAUUUUUUUAGUUAAAUAUUAUCAUCUAUCACAAAAUAUUAGAUAAGUGAAUUUUUUUAACAGAAUGGGUAAUUUGAGUAACAUAAUGUAGUUUAUAUGUUACUUUGAGUAAUGAAGUUUAGCUUAGGUAUCAAUUAUGACUAAAAAAAAUUUCAGUUAUUUUUUUGUGGUUUAAGCCAAAGGAUUUCAAUUUUCAUUUUAAUAAAAAAAUUUCCAAUUUCCAAAUUACAAAAUAAAAGUAAAAUUUUAUUAAUAAGAGUUAGUGUAUUUGCUUUUUGAUUGGUCCUAUACAGUAAGUUGACUUUCUAACUCUCAGGGUACCAAAUUUGGUUGACUAAUGGGCUAAAUUUUUAUCUUCUUUCUAUGAUUAUAUGUGCUUGUCAACUACUAGUUUGAGUGAAAAACAAAGACAUUUUGUGAGCAAAGUGUCCUUUCCUUCUAAGAUGUAUUUUAGAGGAGCUAUUAAACUUAGUUUGACAUAGUGUUUUUAAUUGCAAAAUUUUGAUAAACUUUUUAGUGUUUUGUUUUAGUCUCUGAUCUUGUAUUUGAUGGCAUGGCAGAACACAUUUAUCCAGGAUGGGAAGGAGAUGGCAUCAGUGCUUUAUACUUAUCACAGCUGUGUCAAAGCACUUCCUCAGGUAUUUUAGCCUUAGUUGAUUCUAAUUUAUACAUAUUUUUAAGGUAAACAAUGUUCUAAUAUAAUCUGCUAGUUUUAGUGUAAAGCAAUGUUCUUUUUUAUGUGGUGUAGGGGAUAUGUAGGAAUUCACAGUUCGGGAUUCAGAAACUUGAUGCUGAAACCGGAGCUGCUUCGAUCUAUUGUGGAUUCUGGUUUUGAACAUCCUUCCGAAGGCAAAGUUUUAAACUCAUGUCUGAUGUUAACAUUCGUGAAUUCCAUGAAUUAAGUCAUUUUGCUUUUCUUGCUUUUAGUGACUUAUAAUGGUGGGCAGUAUACAAGUUUGGUGCUUUAUUAUUUUGAUUCUAUAUUUAUAUUUAAUCUAAUUUUUAUUAUUUAUUUUAAUUUUGAUUCUAUAUUUUUAUUUUUAUUUUAAUUUGAUAACGAAUUUUAAUAGAAAAUUUUUAUAUUUAAAUCAUGGACAUUAUUCUUCUCAAUAUUUUGAUAAUGAAUUUUAAUUUUUUUAUAUAUACAUAUUUUUUUUAAAUUUCAUGACCUUUAGCGGCGUUUGUUGGAAAAGCGCCGCUAAAGGUCCUGACCUUUAGCGGCGUUUUUUCAAAUAAACGCCGCAAAAUUUUGAGACGCCGUCUAUAGCAGCCUUUUUUGCGGCGCUUGCAAAAACGCCACGAAUAGUUUUAGUGGCGCUUAAAAGCGCUGCUAAAGGCCUAAAAAACGCCGCUAAAAGUCAGUUUUGCUGUAGUGAACUUUUUUUUAAAAUGUGUACACUAUUUUAUGCAAUCAACACCGGUUCCAACAAGUGUUUGUAAUGAGAUAAAAAUUUUGCAAUCAACACCGGUUCCAAGUGCUUGUGAGAAAAAAAAAUGUCAGAAACUUUAUUUAGGGUUCAACAAGUGAGAAAUGGAAGCCUACUCUCAUUAGAUAGGAUAAUUGUUGGUAACCCUUGGAGAAUGGGGUCCUUGGUAUGAGGAAACUAAAGGCACAAAACAAGUCUUUCAUGAUGAAAAUAGGCUUCAAUACAUUUACUGACAGGGAUUCUCUAAGGAUUCGAGUACUACGGUCCAAUUACAAAGUGCUAGAAGGCUUUCCGCAAAGCAUUGAAAGAUCAAAUUUUUCCUUUGUGUGACAUAUUCUUUGGGAAAGAUUUAUUAGAGAGAUAUAGCUGAAAGUAUUUUCUGGUCUAUUGAUGAUGGAAAAUCUACACGAUUUCAGAAAAGAUACUUCAUUUUUGGACCUUGUAUAGAUAUUUCUUAAACGAAAGCAUGCCCAUGAUUACUGUUGUGUGAGGCAGAUGAUUGAUGUUGUAGCUAGAUGGAAGUGGGAUAAAUUUGAUAUUCGUCUUCCACAAGAGGUGAUCUUGAACAUUGUGGUAUUUACCCCUUGCGAGAGGGAAUUGAGCUGGAUAAAUGCUUAUGGAGAUGGUCCACCAAUGGAAAAUUUUCCUUUAAUGUAGCUCAAAAAUUCUUAUGCAAGGAUAGUUGGAAUCCUAAGGAGGACGCAUGGUUUAACAUAUGGAGGAUGCAUGUACCUCAAAGAGUUUGAAAUUUUCUUUGGGUUUUGAUGCAUAAUAAAUUACUCACCAACACAAAAAGAUGCAAGCGUGGCAUUGACGAUAUAGAAGCCUAUGAAGUAUAAGGUGAUAUAUAAUGCAAUUAGACAUUGUCAAGUGACAAAAUUGGUUUGGUUAAAACUAAUUCAUUUUGAUAAUGGAGGUAGACUUUUCUCUUUACUCGAGAAUAUGCUUAAUAAAAGUUUCAUUUAUGAUGGGGUUGAAUGAUUCUUUUGGACUGUGAUGUUGGAAUUUGUGAAAGGAAAGAAAUAGUGAAUUUUUAGAACAAGAAGCUUUUUACCUCUAUGGAUAUAAUUAACCAAUCUUAUGUAUCGUCUAAGAAUGUUAAGGUAGCAUGGCAAAAAGAGCAAGCUGAGAAGAGAAAAGUUUUGGAAUUUCAAAAGCAUCCACAUCAUUUUGAUAAGUUUCUUGGAUUCUGUUUAUAAAACAUAAUAAGGCUUUUAACGGCGAAAUGAAUCACAUAGUCAUUGCAAUAGUACCAAUAAAUAUCAUGCUAUUUUUAGCACAAUAAAAAUUAAGUAUUGUGUUUUUUUUUUUAUUUCUUGUUUGUUUCUAAAACUAUACUUCGGAUGAGUUAUUUUAAAAAUAAUAUUACGCAAACUAUAAAAAGUGAUUCUUAUAAUCGACAUUGGUUAUUGUAGAUAAAACGAUGAAUGGAGUAUCGAAUUUCAUGAUCAAAUAUUCUAUUAGCAAUGAACCAGGUUUACAUAUUUGUUAUUACCGUCAGGGGUGAAAUUAGAGGGUUGACAAGGGCCCGUCCCCUCUAAAAUGAAAUUUUUUUUAUUUAACCCUUUUAAAAUUUUUAAAUUUUAAAUUAGUAAAGGUAAAAUUACACUUUGGCUCCCCUUAAAAAUAUAAAAAUUUGAUUUAAUUUUUUAAAAAUUAUAAAUAUAUAGGCUAUUAAAAUAGUGAAAAUGCAUUUUUAUCAUCGUAAAAAUUAUAAUUUAAUUUCGAACCCCCUAAAACAAAAUUUUGAUUUCGCCCAUGUUUACUGUGACGACUAGUAAACUGGAUAAUUAAGAAAGAUUCGAUGAGAAUUACUACAAGGAUUAUGUCUUGUAAUAACUGGGGUCUCUUAGUUGCCCUCCUUUCUUUUACCCCCCCCCCAAAAAAAAAGGUCACUGAUAACAAAUUCAAUGAGAUUAAAUUAUUAAGGAAUUGAAGUUAUGGUAAUGGUGCUAAAUUUUCUUCUAUAAACUAAUAUUCCAUUUUAUUAAUAAUAACUAAAUUAAUCAUAAAAAGAUAUUAACUAAAUUAAAAGGCCAUCGAUUUAGUGAUGGUGGAAAAUGUAAUACUGCUAAUUUGGAGAAAAGAAUGCUCAAAGUUGCUGGUAAAAUACCAGAUUGUGAAGCUAUGGUUUCCUAUUGGAUAGAAUUAAAAUAGAUUGUGGACCAUUCACUCACCUAAUUAUGACAUUUCAUUCAAAAAGUUCAUUAAAUAUUUCUUCAAUGAAAAAGAUGGCAAAAAAGAGAUAUUAAAAACUAUACUUGUAGCUAUGAAUCAUAAAAAUUAGAGAAGCUAAGACUAUCUUCCAUCCAAUCUAUAGUUAUCAUCAACAUAUUAUUAUAUUUUGAUUCUAAUAUAUUUUUUUAUUCCAUUUUGUACAUAGAGAAGGCAACUAAGGCUGAGCCAUAUUUAAGUAUUCUAUGUUCUUGCUAAAUAUGUUUAUAUCCACUCUCUGUAAGAAAUUAUUUUUGUUUUGAUUAGAGAUUCAUAUAUUUUGAUUUUUCAAAUCCUUUUUAGGGUGAAUUGGUUGGUGGGAAUUUUAAUUUUAUUAGUAAAAGUGAGAUUUUGUUACAUGUGCUAGUUUAAUUUUUUUAAAAGGGUGAUUAAGGUACUUAGUUGGAUCUAUUUAUGGAGUGUCGUCUCAUUUUUUGAAGAACCGACAUGGAAGAAUAUUAAGAAACUUCCAAUAAAGAUCUUGAUUAACUUGUCAUUAAAAACAUGCUCUCUUUUAAUUUGAUUUCAAGAGAAUCAUGAUAUUUUAAAUUACACAGAAGAAAAUGAUUGUCAUUCAUAAUCAGAUGAAUCAAACCAAAGACUUUCUAAGUUUUUUUUUAUUUAUAAUGUGUAAUGUCCCAUUUUUGCCUGGCUCGAAAUGAACCCAGAAACAUAAAUUAAAAAUCAAAAGUCCAAUGUUCGUUUACAAAUAUUUAGGCUUAAACCAAACCAAACCUAAACAUUAAAUUCAAAUCACUAACCCAAUACCCAAAUUAAUACCCUAGCCCAAACCUACUACAAGCCCAAAUCUAGACCCAAAGGUUCAAGGCCCAAAAUUCCUUAGCAAUAGAAACCCUAGGGUUCUCUUCCUCGCGCCGCAGCCAAGCCCCAGCCCUCGCUCCGUACGACCGCCACGCGCGCCUCCUUACGCCAGCACACAGCCCCCGUACUCGCGCCACGCACACCCCGUACCUGCAAAAACGACGAACGCACAGAAAAAAAAAACAAAUAUUGUAUUUUUUAUUUAUUUUUAAUCAUUUCUAUCUCUUCGGCUAUAUAGCCAAGAGAUUUCAUCAUUUGUAAGGUUACGGAGGCAAUAUACGCACAAAGAAUAAUAAAAAAAAAAGCAAUCAAAAUAGCAGAGGUGAUUUCUUUGUUCUCCGAAUCGCUUUAGCUUUCAAUGAACCAUUUCGUUUUCUCAUUGAGUUAUUGGUUGUUGUUUUUGUUAAAAAAAUAAAAAGAACAAGAUAGUAGAGGGCUUACCUUGCGAAUAGGCCACAAAUCUCUUUUUUGCUUCGUUGAAAUCGAAGCCAAAAGGGGGAUCUCAAGGCUGAAAAACCACCUCCCCUAAAGCCCGAAUACGCUGGUCGCCGACUGUGGUGGCGGAUCGGCGUUUGCACAAAAGGGGAUUAGAGUUCGGCCGAAUGAGAGGGGAAGGGGAGAGCUUUAGGACUUGUUGGGUUCCUUUUCAAAUGGCUAAUAGUUAACUUAGGUUUUUUUUUUUAAUUUUGUUUUAUGAAGCAUAUGAAACGACGCCGUCCAAAGGGGGGAAGGAUCCGUGUGUUGACCCGAUGGGUAGGCCGGAUCCGC